UACGUAGGGAGCAAGCGUUGUCCGGAAUCAUUGGGCGUAAAGCGCGCGUAGGCGGAUAUUUAAGUCAGGGGUGAAAUCCCGGGGCUCAACCCCGGAACUGCCUUUGAUACUGAGGAUCUUGAGUCCGGGAGAGGUGAGUGGAACUGCGAGUGUAGAGGUGAAAUUCGUAGAUAUUCGCAAGAACACCAGUGGCGAAGGCGGCUCACUGGCCCGGUACUGACGCUGAGGCACGAAAGCGUGGGGAGCAAACAGG
rnacentral:rRNA from 1 species